CGGCGGACGGGUGAGUAACGCGUGGGUAACCUACCCCAUAGUCCGGGAUAACAGCGGGAAACCGCUGCUAAUACCGGAUGCCUUUACCUUGGGGCAUCUUGAGGUAAAGAAAGGUAACGCUUUGGGAUGGGCCCGCGUCCCAUUAGCUAGUUGGUGAGGUAACGGCUCACCAAGGCGACGAUGGGUAGCCGGCCUGAGAGGGUGGACGGCCACACUGGGACUGAGACACGGCCCAGACUCCUACGGGAGGCAGCAGUAGGGAAUAUUGCGCAAUGGACGGAAGUCUGACGCAGCGACGCCGCGUGAGCGAUGAAGGUCUUCGGAUCGUAAAGCUCUGUCCUUGGGGAAGAAGGCGAAAGCUUGACGGUACCCAAGAAGAAAGCCCCGGCUAACUACGUGCCAGCAGCCGCGGUAAUACGUAGGGGGCGAGCGUUGUCCGGAAUUACUGGGCGUA
rnacentral:rRNA from 1 species